CGGACGGGUGAGUAACGCGUGGAGAACCUGCCGUAUACUGGGGGAUAACACUUAGAAAUAGGUGCUAAUACCGCAUAAGCGCACAGCUUCGCAUGAAGCAGUGUGAAAAACUCCGGUGGUAUACGAUGGAUCCGCGUCUGAUUAGCUGGUUGGCGGGGUAAAGGCCCACCAAGGCGACGAUCAGUAGCCGGCCUGAGAGGGUGAACGGCCACAUUGGGACUGAGACACGGCCCAAACUCCUACGGGAGGCAGCAG
rnacentral:rRNA from 1 species